rnacentral:rRNA from 1 species
GACGAACGCUGGCGGCGUGCCUAAUACAUGCAAGUCGAGCGAAGCAGCGGAUUGGUGAGUAACGCGUGGGUAACCUGCCCUUAAGUCUGGGAUGCCAGUUGGAAACAGAUGCUAAUACCGGAUACUAAAGGAUGGAGUUGCGGUGCAUUAGCUAGUUGGUAAGGUAACGGCUUACCAAGGCGAUGAUGCAUAGCCGGUUUGAAAGAAUGAUCGGCCACAUUGGGACUGAGACACGGCCCAAACUCCUACGGGAGGCAGCAGUAGGGAAUCUUCCACAAUGGACGAAAGUCUGAUGGAGCAACGCCGCGUGAGUGAAGAAGGUUUUCGGAUCGUAAAGCUCUGUUGUUGGUGAAGCGGUAAUCAACCAGAAAGUCACGGCUAACUACGUGCCAGCAGCCGCGGUAAUUC